rnacentral:rRNA from 1 species
AUUGAACGCUGGCGGCAGGCUUAACACAUGCAAGUCGAGCGAGCGGCGGACGGGUGAGUAAUGUCUGGGAAACUGCCUUAUGGAGGGGUAUAACUAAUGGAAACGGUAGCUAAUACCGCAUACCAUCAGAUGUGCCCAGAUGUGAUUAGCAAGUAGGUGGGGUAAUGGCUCACCUUGGCGCCGAUCCCUAGCUGUUCUGAGAGGUUGACCAGCAACACUGGAACUGAGACACGGUCCAGAUUCCUACGGGAGGCAGAAGUGGGGAAUAUUGCACAAUGGGCGCAAGCCUGAUGAAGCCAUGCCGCGUGUGUGAAGAAGGCCUUCGGGUUGUAAAGCACGUUCAGCGAGGAGGCGUUACUCGCAGAAGAAGCACCGGCUAACUCCGUGCCAGCAGCCGCGGUAAUUC